rnacentral:rRNA from 1 species
CCCUUAGAUGUCCUGGGCCGCACGCGCGUUACACUGAUGCAUUCAACGAGCUUAUAACCUUGGCCGAGAGGCCUGGGCAAUCUUGUUAACGUGCAUCGUGAUAGGGAUAGAUUAUUGAAAUUAUUAAUCUUGAACGAGGAAUUCCUAGUAAACGCAGAUCAUCAAUCUGCAUUGAUUACGUCCCUGCCCUUUGUACACACCGCCCGUCGCACCUACCGAUUGGAUGGUCCGGUGAAGCCUCGGGAUUGUGGUUCUUGCCGCUUUAUUGUGGCGUGACCGCGAGAACUUGUCUAAACCUUAUCAUCUAGAGGAAGGUGAAGUCAUAACA